UACGUAGGGGGCAAGCGUUGUCCGGAUUUAUUGGGCGUAAAGAGCGUGUAGGCGGUUUGGUAGGUCCGCUGUGAAAACUCGAGGCUCAACCUCGAGACGCCGGUGGAAACCAUCAGACUAGAGUCCGGAAGAGGAGAGUGGAAUUCCUGGUGUAGCGGUGAAAUGCGCAGAUAUCAGGAAGAACACCCGUGGCGAAGGCGGGUCUCUGGGCCGUAACUGACGCUGAGGGGCGAAAGCAUGGGGAGCGAACAGG
rnacentral:rRNA from 1 species